rnacentral:rRNA from 1 species
UUAAGUUAGAAAGGGCGCACGGUGGAUGCCUUGACACUAGGAGUCGAUGAAGGACGGGACUAACGCCGAUAUGCUUCGGGGAGCUGUAAGUAAGCUUUGAUCCGAAGAUUUCCGAAUGGGGAAACCCACCAUACGUAAUGGUAUGGUAUCCUUAUCUGAAUACAUAGGGUAAGGAAGACAGACCCAGGGAACUGAAACAUCUAAGUACCUGGAGGAAGAGAAAGCAAAUGCGAUUUCCUGAGUAGCGGCGAGCGAAACGGAACAUAGCCCAAACCAAGAGGCUUGCCUCUUGGGGUUGUAGGACAUUCUAUACGGAGUUACAAAGGAACGAGGUAGACGAAGCGACCUGGAAAGGUCCGUCGUAGAGGGUAACAACCCCGUAGUCGAAACUUCGUUCUCUCUUGAAUGUAUCCUGAGUACGGCGGAACACGUGAAAUUCCGUCGGAAUCUGGGAGGACCAUCUCCCAAGGCUAAAUACUCCCUAGUGAUCGAUAGUGAACCAGUACCGUGAGGGAAAGGUGAAAAGCACCCCGGAAGGGGGAGUGAAAGAGAUCCUGAAACCGUGUGCCUACAAAUAGUCAGAGCCCGUUAACGGGUGAUGGCGUGCCUUUUGUAGAAUGAACCGGCGAGUUACGAUCCCGUGCGAGGUUAAGCUGAAGAGGCGGAGCCGCAGCGAAAGCGAGUCUGAAUAGGGCGUUUAGUACGUGGUCGUAGACCCGAAACCAGGUGAUCUACCCAUGUCCAGGGUGAAGUUCAGGUAACACUGAAUGGAGGCCCGAACCCACGCACGUUGAAAAGUGCGGGGAUGAGGUGUGGGUAGCGGAGAAAUUCCAAUCGAACCUGGAGAUAGCUGGUUCUCCCCGAAAUAGCUUUAGGGCUAGCCUUAAGUGUAAGAGUCUUGGAGGUAGAGCACUGAUUGGACUAGGGGGUCCUCAUCGGAUUACCGAAUUCAGUCAAACUCCGAAUGCCAAUGACUUAUCCUUAGGAGUCAGACUGCGAGUGAUAAGAUCCGUAGUCAAAAGGGAAACAGCCCAGACCGCCAGCUAAGGUCCCAAAGUGUGUAUUAAGUGGAAAAGGAUGUGGAGUUGCUUAGACAACUAGGAUGUUGGCUUAGAAGCAGCCACCAUUUAAAGAGUGCGUAAUAGCUCACUAGUCGAGUGACUCUGCGCCGAAAAUGUACCGGGGCUAAAUACACCACCGAAGCUGCGGAUUGAUACCAAUGGUAUCAGUGGUAGGGGAGCGUUCUAAGGACAGUGAAGUCAGACCGGAAGGACUGGUGGAGUGCUUAGAAGUGAGAAUGCCGGUAUGAGUAGCGAAAGACGGGUGAGAAUCCCGUCCACCGAAUGCCUAAGGUUUCCUGAGGAAGGCUCGUCCGCUCAGGGUUAGUCAGGACCUAAGCCGAGGCCGACAGGCGUAGGCGAUGGACAACAGGUUGAUAUUCCUGUACCACCUCUUUAUCGUUUGAGCAAUGGAGGGACGCAGAAGGAUAGAAGAAGCGUGCGAUUGGUUGUGCACGUCCAAGCAGUUAGGCUGAUAAGUAGGCAAAUCCGCUUAUCGUGAAGGCUGAGCUGUGAUGGGGAAGCUCCUUAUGGAGCGAAGUCUUUGAUUCCCCGCUGCCAAGAAAAGCUUCUAGCGAGAUAAAAGGUGCCUGUACCGCAAACCGACACAGGUAGGCGAGGAGGGAAUCCUAAGGUGUGCGAGAGAACUCUGGUUAAGGAACUCGGCAAAAUGACCCCGUAACUUCGGGAGAAGGGGUGCUUUCUUAACGGAAAGCCGCAGUGAAUAGGCCCAAGCGACUGUUUAGCAAAAACACAGCUCUCUGCGAAGCCGUAAGGCGAAGUAUAGGGGGUGACACCUGCCCGGUGCUGGAAGGUUAAGGAGAGGGGUUAGCGUAAGCGAAGCUCUGAACUGAAGCCCCAGUAAACGGCGGCCGUAACUAUAACGGUCCUAAGGUAGCGAAAUUCCUUGUCGGGUAAGUUCCGACCCGCACGAAAGGUGUAACGAUUUGGGCACUGUCUCAACCAGAGACUCGGUGAAAUUAUAGUACCUGUGAAGAUGCAGGUUACCCGCGACAGGACGGAAAGACCCCGUGGAGCUUUACUGUAGCCUGAUAUUGAAUUUUGGUACAGUUUGUACAGGAUAGGCGGGAGCCUUUGAAACCGGAGCGCUAGCUUCGGUGGAGGCGCUGGUGGGAUACCGCCCUGACUGUAUUGAAAUUCUAACCUACGGGUCUUAUCGACCCGGGAGACAGUGUCAGGUGGGCAGUUUGACUGGGGCGGUCGCCUCCUAAAGUGUAACGGAGGCGCCCAAAGGUUCCCUCAGAAUGGUUGGAAAUCAUUCGUAGAGUGCAAAGGCAUAAGGGAGCUUGACUGCGAGACCUACAAGUCGAGCAGGGACGAAAGUCGGGCUUAGUGAUCCGGUGGUUCCGCAUGGAAGGGCCAUCGCUCAACGGAUAAAAGCUACCCCGGGGAUAACAGGCUUAUCUCCCCCAAGAGUCCACAUCGACGGGGAGGUUUGGCACCUCGAUGUCGGCUCAUCGCAUCCUGGGGCUGUAGUCGGUCCCAAGGGUUGGGCUGUUCGCCCAUUAAAGCGGUACGCGAGCUGGGUUCAGAACGUCGUGAGACAGUUCGGUCCCUAUCCGUCGUGGGCGUAGGAAAUUUGAGAGGAGCUGUCCUUAGUACGAGAGGACCGGGAUGGACGCACCGCUGGUGUACCAGUUGUUCUGCCAAGGGCAUAGCUGGGUAGCUAUGUGCGGAAGGGAUAAGUGCUGAAAGCAUCUAAGCAUGAAGCCCCCCUCAAGAUGAGAUUUCCCAUAGCGUAAGCUAGUAAGAUCCCUGAAAGAUGAUCAGGUUGAUAGGUUCGAGGUGGAAGCAUGGUGACAUGUGGAGCUGACGAAUACUAAUAGAUCGAGGACUUAACCAU